UACGUAGGGACCGAGCGUUGUCCGGAAUCAUUGGGCGUAAAGAGCGUGUAGGCGGCCAACUAAGUCCUGCGUGAAAUCUCGGGGCUCAACCCCGAGCGGUCGUGGGAAACUGGUUGGCUAGAGUGCGGGAGAGGAGAGUGGAAUUCCUGGUGUAGCGGUGAAAUGCGCAGAUAUCAGGAGGAACACCGGUGGCGAAGGCGGGUCUCUGGGCCGUAACUGACGCUGAGGAGCGAAAGCGUGGGGAGCGAACAGG
rnacentral:rRNA from 1 species